rnacentral:rRNA from 1 species
GAUGAACGCUGGCGGCGUGCCUAAUACAUGCAAGUCGAGCGAACAGAUGAGGAGCUUGCUCCUCUGACGUUAGCGGCGGACGGGUGAGUAACACGUGGAUAACCUACCUAUAAGACUGGGAUAACUUCGGGAAACCGGAGCUAAUACCGGAUAAUAUAUUGAACCGCAUGGUUCAAUAGUGAAAGCCGGUUUUGCUGUCACUUAUAGAUGGAUCCGCGCCGCAUUAGCUAGUUGGUAGGGUAACGGCUUACCAAGGCAACGAUGGGUAGCCGACCUGAGAGGGUGAUCGGCCACACUGGAAGUGAGACACGGUCCAGACUCCUACGGGAGGCAGCAGUAGGUAAUGUUGCGAGAUGGGCGGAAGCCUGACGGAGCAACGCCGCGUGGGUGAUGAAGGUCCUCGGGUCGUAAAACUCUGUUAUUAGGGAAGAACAAAUGUGUAAGUAACUAUGCACGUCUUGACGGUACCUAAUCAGAAAGCCACGGCUAACUACGUG